GCAAAAAUUCACAAAUGCAUGACUCACCAAAGUGAAAGAUAUUUUAAGAAUCUAAGUCACUCGUUCACUCAGGCAGGACAUGUCCUAGAACACUUCAAUUUCAAAACCAAAUCUACAUUGAACAGAAAAGCUUGAAUGUUUUUGAUAGACUGAAACAAUGAAAGUCUAUCGACCUUUAGAAAACUGCAUUAGCCGACAUUAUGGAUAUAAAAUGAAGAGUUUUGUCUCAAGCCAGCAGGCAGUCUCUCCUAAUAUGCUUCUACAAGGACAGGUACAUUCAUGGUUACAUUUAGGCAAUAAGCACCAGUGACAGAGGGGUAAUGGGAACAGGCAAGAUGGGGUCAGAAAUAGGCCUUGGCUCAACAUUCCAGGGCAAAGUCCUACAUUUUAUCCUGUCCCCUGUUACACGCCGCGCGACACUGAACCAGUUCCCACGGAACACAAAGCUGCAUAAAAUUAUGAUAAUUACUUAAGUACUUGUCCUCAUUUCCAUUUUUUUGUGGUGGGAGCCAACAUAGAAACUAUUAACUCAUAAAAUAAAACAAAAAGAAAUAGGGUUAAGAGUAUCUAAAAAACAAAGUGGUACAAGGGGAGACAAUGACAUUGUAAAUGUCUUUAUAUGCACUUUACUAAAUCCUGUUAAGUAAGUGAACUAUCGUUUGAUCAGUUCAACAAUAUAUUCUCAUUUUACACAUUGUGUAAUUUUAAAAUGCAAGUCCUGUGUUCGCAUUAAUCAAUAUGGCCAUCAUAUCUUAAGCAAUGGGGAGAGUGACACAUAAAAGAAACACAAAAUAGGCCUAUUGAUUUUGGUGCCAGCGUGAGCUCACUUCUGUGUUUUUUGUUUGUCUUUUCAUCUGGCAAGGGCAGUUAAUUCUGCUCAAAUGAAUAGGUCACAAGGGUCAACUCUGGCAAGGAGCAAUUUAAAGCGCUCUUACAAAAACGCUAAUGCCCCUCUGAAAGAAAAACGUUUUGUCAGUACAGGCCUGCAUCAAUAAUGCUAUGUAAGCAGCGGUGGCAGUGUCUUAGUCAGAGCCAUAUCAGAUGCAUCCAAUCUCAAAUGUAGUGAUAUUAUCAGAGACAAUUUAUUUAUAUAAUCUGCGUGUCUCUCUUUAAAAAAUUAAAAUAUUUCUGAGGUUAGUAAAUUUAUAAAUUUGGCAAUGUUUUCGUAACAGCAUAAAAGUGGCAAAAGUGGUGCAGCAAUUUACAGUUUUUCUUUUUACACUCUUUUGGAAAACACCAGCCCUUAUUGAGACUCACAGUGGCUCAGUAAAAAAGAAUAAAAUAUAACAAAUACAAAUACAGUAUUCUUUUUUUGACUUCAAUUUUACAGGUCGCAAAUAUAAUAAAACGUUACACUGAUUUAGGUAGACUUUAAGAUAGAUCUGCAAAGUAAAAUUCUAAGUACAAAAAUGUCAAAUGACAGAUCUACGUCUGAUUUUGCUAUGAUAUUCUAUGACAAAAGCCAGCCAAAGACAUCUAAUUUGAAGGCUCAGUUUCAGUGGUAAGUGGGGGCAAACAACAGGGAAAACUGAACUCUAGGGAGAUUUAAAAACAUUUUGUUUAACUAAGUAUUUGCUUGCUCUAACUAAAAGAAAUUGUAUUUUUUAAUAUUAUCGAUGCAUAUGAAAAGAUAUUUUUUAAAAAAAGAAAGGGUUCUUUCUUAUCACUUAGCCUCACAGACACAAUCACACUGUACACACACACAGGCGCACACACACAACUUUGCUGCUGGCUUUGUUAGAGCUGUGUAGUAUGAUGCACCACACAAGUGACAUGCAUUGGCAGGUUUUUCACUCUGAAAAAACAUUUUGUAAAUUGACAUUUUGUAAAUUGACAAGAUAAAACUUGAAACGUCCAAAUGUCCUGGAAGAACAGGUUGGAUUAAAUGUUUCCCCCCUAAAAACCGUCAUAUUGAAGUGACACCAGUAUUCUAAAAUAAAACCCUUUGAUAAAUGGCUUUGGCCCAAGUCUUGACAGCCACAUCCAGCAGUUCAGACAAGAGGUGAUACAUCUCCAAGAAAAAAACUUGACUUGAUCGCCUCAGGAUCUUAACAAUGAGCUUGAAAUAGUCACCAGCACCUGUCUGUUCCGACGGCGCACCUGUCUCUGCCAUUGCCCAUGCGCACUCUCACUCUCGUUAAAAAACCUUUCAACAAUUUCAAGCUAUGAACUACACAAAUGAACAACGAGCUGUAGAUGUUCACUCCAACUUUUAUAGAUCUUCAUCCGAUCUUUUAAACCUGUUUCUUCACUGGAGACCUUCUAUUGUCUUUUGAAAACCUAAAACGAACCUGAGAAACAAAAAGUAAAAAAAUGAUGAAUGAAGAUUUGAAACUUGGCCUAAAUUAAAAUAAUGUACAGUUGAACUUGAAGUCUAACAACAUUUACGCUAAAAGAUGCUAAAAGUGAGACCUGGCUGUUUCUUUCCACAUUUGAUGGUCAAUGGACAGACUAUAUCAAAACCUAUGAGAGACAGAGUUGCGUUCACUUUAAACAAUAUCCUGGCAUCGUUUUAUCACAGUUGUCCAAAAGUGCUGCCGCAAAAGAUAGACACCAAAAUCACAAAACAGGAGACCUGACAAGCUCCGGAACUGCCUGGAUAAGGAUUCUGUGUAAAUAAAAACGCUUGUAUGAGGUGUUAAAAUAAGAUUUAGCCCACAGGACAAAGACAAUAUGAGGUGAUAGCAAAUCCACGGUUUUCAACCGGAGAGAUCAAAUCCAGGCGAGGCAGAACAAGAGAGGGAGGUAUCCGAGGACAAGGUUACUUACCCUUUGGAUGAAGAGGGGGACAGCCUGAACUCCUACGGCAAAAAAAAGAGAGAAUAUACGCAGAACACGGCGGAUUGCUGGAUGCUGGGGUAUAACAAUUGCUCAGAGAAGGAAGAGCUGGAAAAAAGUCAGCGACGCGACCGAAAGGAACAAAAUAGGAAAAAUAUAGAAGAUGAAAAGAGCUCUUGCGCGUCGGUCUCUCCCUCUAUCCUCUGCUGUGACUAAAAGAGUGAGAGACAUAGAGAGAGUGGAAGAGAGAGAGGCUGUGUGUGCGUCUCCGAGGCGCACUGGAUGCAGAGGACUGGAUGCUGGAGCGCUCCUCCGCCACUAAGAUUCACUUUAAGACACGGCUGAAGGAAACAGGAAGACGUGCGCGUCAUGAGCGGCGUGAUGUAACUGUCGCAACCUACCAAUAAGAAGCGUCCGUCCGGUCCGGAGAACAACGCACUGAACUUGUCCAGAGAAUGGGACUUGAGCAUGCAACUAAAGAGAGAGAGAGAGGAAAAAAGGAAAUACCACUCUUAGGCUACUAAUCUCUUUCUUCCCAAAUCACCGACUGCGCGAGUAAGAAUCGUUACGCACCUUGACAUUACACUACCUUAGCCGCAAUAAAACACAUAGCCCACAAUUUAAUUACGUUAUUUAUUCUUAAAGUCUUAUGGGAGGGUUUCUAUAGCCUAAUAACUGGUAACGUGUCAGUGCUGCUUGAUUCCAAGAGAGUUUCAAUAAAGUGUCAAUACUUAAAAAAAAAAUCAGAAUAAGAGCAGUUUCACGAUAAUAACUGAUAAAUUAUACAUACUUGAUUUGUUUGGCAACCAGUGAGAUUAUUUAUCCCUGUUGUAGAUUUUUUCAUUACAUUUAAAAAAAAUGCAUGACGAAUGUAACAUUAAAUGAAUUGUUAAGACAGAUAGUUUUGUACCGUUUUAAUGCAAAUGUUUUCAGACACCUUCCAGCUUCCUUGUGGCAGUACACAUCCAAAUUAACAGUCUAUUUUACAAUCCAAACGACUUUUUUAACGCUCCUGUUAAUGCAUGUUUAUGCGAGUCUGUUAAAACGCAUUAGCACUCCUUCAAGCUCAGUCAUUUUUAAUGAUUGCCAAUUUUGUAAUUUGAUCUUUCAAUGUGUCUGAAUAACGUUUAUAUUUUAAACAUCAGUAUAUACAUUUUGUUCUGCAAAGAGAACUGGUACACAUUUAGACUGCAGCUUCUCUAAGGGAGUAACAGUGGUGGGUCACUUGGGUAUUGGAGGUUCAAAGUGGCAUGUAGAGAUAUUUUACGUGCAGAGUUUUCUCAUUGGUUGCAGCAAAGUCUGAUUUAUGAACAAGCAAAGCAGCACAGAGGCUCUGAGCUUUGCUUUGGAAUUCAGAUUAUCCAGGGAAGCCAAUAUCUGAGGAGAGCUAAACGUCUCUUUGUGAAAUGCUCAGUGAAGAGCCGAAUAUCAUCAUGAAACGUCUGUCACUCGGAUCCACAGCCUGCCACGAAAAUGUCCCCGUGCGACUGCACUGUCAUCACAAAUGAUUAUGAAGUAAAACUGAUAGUAAAUGAAAACAAAAAUCCACCUUUAUGUUUGCAACUCUAAACAUUUUCAGUGAAUUAUUAGAUUUUUUUCUCCCUUUGAAACUUCCCCACCUGCAAGGCUGAACCCUGCGGACACUGACAUCUGAUCCUUUCCACAGAAAAACCUGUUUGACGCUUCUGAUUUAUGAAAUGAUGACGGCUGCUCGUCCUCGUCCUCAUGCAUCCGUACAAAUUGGAUACUUAUAAUUAUACUGCAGUUUAUGCGCUCUGCAAAUAUUUUAGCCUUCGACCUUUACAACAUGUGUGCACACACAUUAUUUAGUAAUAUUAUUUAGGAAAUAUUAGAUUUUUUGUGCCACUGAAAUUAAUCUUUACAUAAGAGAAUUCUAUUUUCAUCGUCUCUAACGAUAUUUCUGGAUAAUACAGGUCACAUCCCCCUGGCUCAGCCUGCGUUUCUGCAAUUAUAGAAAGCGUAAGCUUCGUAUUAAGCACAUGCAAGAAAUUACCUGUACAUUUAUUUCAUAACUAACGUAAAAAAAUAUGCAUGUAUGUAUGUGUGUAUUAUUAUCACUAUUAUUAUUAGUGAAUGAAGUUACAUUUAUUCGUAUCCGUCAAUUAUCUGAAGUCAGUAAAGAAAGGGUUGUUCAUGCACUAGGCUACUGUUAUCAGAUCAGCGUGCUUUUGCCCUUUUUGUUUUUCCAGCUUUUCACUUUGGAUUCAUUUGUUGCACGCAGAAUCUUCUUUUUUUAUCCUCUGCACAAACAGGAUCCUAAAGUACUUAACGAUAAAUCUUAUUUUCCAUAUACUCCUCUGUCAGGUGCCAAAAGGGAAAAGGCGAGUCUCUUUUCCAUGUCGCAAGCAAGUGUUUUUUAGGACGAACGAAUUGCAACGAAGUCAGCAAAGUUUAGUGUCUGGAGUGUCUUUUCCAAAGCAGGUGUCCCGGCCCCCUUCUCCCUCACUGGCCUGUGGCUGAUUUGGCCUCGGCUCCCCUGGGUGCCGUCGGUGCGCACACGGGCUGGAAAAACAGGCCGGGACAUUAAAGAAACGCGUGUUUGGAAAAGGAAGACUCGGAUGAGGUGUAGAGGAAACGUGUUGGUUAACACUGGCUGCUCUUAUCGCGGCCCAUUCCAGGUGGAUCAACCCGUGUAUUUAUUUCAAACCCCCCCCCCCGCGCUUUUGGGUCGAGUGCGACACACCUCGAUGCCCAAGACUGAUAAUGCGCUCUGGCAUUGCGCACUGAUGGCUGAAUUUAUUGACAUAUUUAUUAGAGUUGGGCCCAAAAGCAGAAUGAGGGAGGCAGUGAAAACAAUAUUUCUCCCAGAGGUGUUAUAAAGGUACUUUUUUUUAAAUCACAUUCUGACCACAAUUAAGUGAUAAUAAGUGGGUGCACUUGGUGAUGGUAUGCCGGAGUGGAGAAGAGCCAGUGGCCUCUUUUUCCUCAGUAUUAAUUUGGAUCAACGACGGGUCAACUGUCUUUCCAUUCUUCUUCUUAUUGUUAUUGUUGUUUUUUAUUAUUAUUGCUUUUAUUAUUUAAUUAUUACAGUAUUCUUUGUC